GUGCCAGCAGCCGCGGUAAGACGAACCGUCCAAACGUUAUUCGGAAUCACUGGGCUUAAAGGGCGCGUAGGCGGCCGAGCGGGUCGCGGGUGAAAUCCUCCAGCUUAACUGGAGAACUGCCCUCGAUACCACUGCGGCUCGAGGAAGGAAGGGGCAAUCGGAACUGUCGGUGGAGCGGUGAAAUGCGUUGAUAUCGACAGGAACGCCGGUGGCGAAAGCGGAUUGCUGGUCCUUUUCUGACGCUGAGGCGCGAAAGCCAGGGGAGCAAACGGGAUUAGAAACCCCUGUAGUCC
rnacentral:rRNA from 1 species